AGAGUUUGAUCCUGGCUCAGGAUGAACGCUGGCGGCGUGCCUAAUACAUGCAAGUCGAACGGAGAUUGUAGCAAUACAUUCUUAGUGGCGAACGGGUGAGUAACGCGUUGGUGACCUGCCCCAAAGUGAGGGAUAACAGCCCGAAAGGGUUGCUAAUACCUCAUGUGGUCUUUGAGAUCAGAUGCUCUUAGACUAAAGGAUUUAUUCGCUUUGGGAGGGGCCUGCGUCCCAUCAGCUUGUUGGUGAGGUAAUGGCUUACCAAGGCUAUGACGGGUAGGGGACCUGAGAGGGUGACCCCCCACAAUGGAACUGAAACACGGUCCAUACACCUACGGGUGGCAGCAGUAGGGAAUAUUGGUAAUGGGCGAAAGCCUGAACCAGCAACGCCGCGUGUGCGAAGAAGGCCUUCGGGUUGUAAAGCACUUUUUAAGGGGAUGAGGAAGGACAGUACCCUUAGAAUAAGCCUCGGCUAACUACGUGCCAGCAGCCGCGGUAACACGUAGGAGGCAAGCGUUAUUCGGAUUUACUGGGCGUAAAGCGCGUGCAGGCGGUUUGGUAAGUUGGAUGUGAAAGCUCCCGGCCUAACUGGGAGAGGUCGUUCAAUACUACCAGACUAGAGGAUGGGAGAGGGAGGUGGAAUUCCGGGUGUAGUGGUGAAAUGCGUAGAUAUCCGGAGGAACACCAGUGGCGAAAGCGGCCUCCUGGCCCAUUUCUGACGCUCAGACGCGAAAGCUAGGGUAGCAAACGGGAUUAGAGACCCCGGUAGUCCUAGCUGUAAACGAUGUGAACUUGGCGUCGGCGGGUUUAAAUCCGUCGGUGCCGAAGCUAACGCGAUAA
rnacentral:rRNA from 1 species